rnacentral:lncRNA from 1 species
GUUUUGGGAAAGUCAAAAGUUUGACUGCACUGGGGUUUGUUUGUUCCGCUAAGCCCUGCAUUAUUCAAGGGUCAACUGUAGCAGGAACUGCUGUUCCCAUUGCAUAAUAGGAAUUAUUAAUGUCCCAUAUUACAGAGGAGGGAAGGAGGGUGAGAGUGGCUAAAUCACUUGCCCAGGUUCUCGCCUAUUCAGAAGUAGAACCAGGAUCUCCCAAGUUCCAGUGGGAGAUCUCGUCACCGAUGAAGCCCCUUUUGCACCGUGCAGGAAUAUACCUAGGCAGAGUGAAAAGCUCAAGAGUUUUGCUGUUAGACCUGGAUCAAAUUCCAGCUUUGCCAUAUCCCAAGGAGUCCUAGUUUUCCUGUCUUUAAAAUGGCAACAACAACAAAAUCUGUCUCACAAGUUUCUGGGAGGGGUGAAAUGAAAUGAACUAGGAUAGAAAGCCCUGGCAGGCAUGCAACAGAGACUUGGUCAGGUAACCUUGGUUCUUUCCCACAGUCUGGCUCUCCUUUUUGCCCCCUGGAUUGGCCACACCUGCUCUCACCUCUGAGCCCUUGCUCAUGCUGUUCUCUCUGGUUAUAAAUCCCUCCCUGUCUCCUCCUCUUAUCUCACUCAAAACCCAGCUGAGAUUUCAGCAUUUCCAUGCAGACUCCUCCCUUAUACCUGUUCUUCUUUCCGCACUUGGGACUCUGCCAGCACUUGGCAUUUAAUCAGCCACAGUGGAUUUAAGUGUUUCACUUGUGAGUGGCUUAUCUCCCACAUUACACUAGAUAUUCCUUGAGGGCACUGACCAGCCUCCUGCAUCCGUCCGUCAGCUUGGCCCAGCCACAGCUCUGUCUCUUCUUGGUGAGUGGCUCUGGGCACUUGCCCCUUCCCAUCACUGUGCCUAAUCCCUCUCCUGUACACGGUGGGGACCACUGGAGGAGCUCUGGAGACUCCCUCUUGUGAACAUUAGGUGAGUAAGUGAAACUGGGCUGAGUCUACAAUAGGAAGUGACCAGCAGGAACUGGUUGGGUUUUCCAGUAACCCCUAUGGACCAGACAUUGCACCCAGUACCUUGGAACUUCUCUAGUUGUCAGAAAGGCCCUAGGACAUUGUGUGUUUAUAGCUUAAGAAUGUGAACUUUAAAGGGAUACAUAACUUAAUUGGCAAUAAUUGGUUGAGAAUGAUUUCUUACUGAUGAUCACAUAUUUUUUACGCCAUGCACUGUGCCGGGAAUUCAGAGAGAUAUAUAAGGCAGACAUGGCUAUCAUAGGUACAAAUGGUUGGGGCCGACUUCGCAGGUGGUAAAAAAAUUUACCAAGACAGUUAUAGGUAAAGAAAGGCAGAUUUAUUAGACAAAGUAUGAAAAUAUGUUGCAAGGUUGCAACAGGCAGCAACAGCAGAGAAGGGGCUGUGUGUAAAGAGGCAGGGGCUGGAGGGAGCUAAUUUCGGUGGGUUGUUUGUGAUUAGCCAUCUCUCAAAUAACAAUUGUUCAUUUUUCUUCCCCACGUGGGGCCCUGCCCUACCUGGGGCCCCUUCCUAGUGACUGCUUACUUACCAGGACUCCAAAAUGGUCCCCAGCUUGCUUCAGAGAGCUCACAGCCAAGAUGACAAGUGAGACCAUCAACCAUCAGUCCACUACCACCCUCAUAUCAUUGUUUUAUAUGUAUGAGAACCACCAUCAUCAUGGCAGUUACCUCCAAUUCAGCACCUUUUACAGAUCAUCACCAGGUAAUUCUACAUGCACUACCUCAUUUAUUCCUCAAAACAUCCUGAAGAAGGGGAAUUAUCCUUCACUGAUAUUCUCCAAGUGCCUGGGGCAGUGUGUGGCACAUUACAGAGGGUAACUAAAUUUUAAUUGAAUGACUUUGUUACAGGCAGUUAGACAGGCACAAGCCGCGCAGGAGAGGGCUCUCCCACCAUCCACUAGGAAUGUUGGGUGAUGGUUUGGUAAUGAUCACAUUCCCUCUCUAAAAUUUAUAAACUCGCAGCCAACACCAGAGACAGAGAUCAUUUCCUGAUGAUCCACACCUUUUGCACCAAAGUGUUAAUUGAAUGCAGGUGCCGGGGGAGACUGAGGCAGAAGAAUCGCUUGAACCCAGAAGGUGGAGGUUGCAGUGAGCAGAGAUCGCGCCACUGCCCUCCAACCAGGGUGACAGAGCGAGACUCCGUCUCAAAAAAAAGAAAAAAAGAAAAGAAAGAAAGAAAAGAAAAGAGACAAAAUGGCAGAGUCUGACCUUCGGACCUUCGGGGCACUCUGCUGGAAAAGCGAUGAUGGGCAUGUGCACCACUUCCUAAACACAUUGCGCAUGCUCACCUCCGGAGGGUAAGGAAGGCGCGGUGGGUGCGGGCAGCCCACCCCAAGGGAAGAAUCAUGGGAAAAGGGCCAGCCUAUAAAGUCCUAGGAUCAUCGCACUUGUCCUCGGUGCCCACUUGGGUCUCUUCCAAGUGUACUUUCCUUUCCUUUCUUUCCUGUUCUAAAGCAUUUAAAGAAACUUUUACUCCUGCUCUGAAACUUGCCUUGGGCUCCUUUUCUGCCUUAUGCCCCUCUGUCAAAUUCUUUCUCCUGAAGAGGCAAGAAUUGAGGUUGUUGCAGACCCAUACGGAUUCACCACCCGGUACCUUCCAUGGGAUACUUUACGCUGGUAACAUGUUCCCAUUUCACAAAUAAGGUUCAUGGAGGUUUGCCCAAAUGCAUGGGAAAUGUGAGGCUGGGACCCAAGGUGUGAGUGCAUUUUGCUCCUUCAAGUUACUGGUAACUUGGUUGGUAAAAGAAAUACUAAUUCUUUGCUUUCCUCAUUUACCCUCACUCCCUUCCCUAAGUUACUAUGUUCCCGGUUUUGCUUCCAGCAGCUUCUCACUCAGCUGCCAUGCAUUGACUUCCCUGUUGAUCCAGCCUACUGCGGACCCAAAUAUUCCUGUUGCCAGAUAGGAGGGAUGAGUAAUGGAGACUCCAGUCCUCAGAGACCUUGAUCAAGUAAAGCAAAAACCCCUUCCUCCACUUUCUUUGCAAGUGGCUAAACCCUUAGUCACUCUGGGAAGAAAAGUAAACUGAAAACUUGAAAAAGUCCCAAGACAGAAUCUAACUCCAUCCCCUGCCCCAGAUAAAAAGCAAGAUAGCACAACUAUAGCAACCUUUUAAGUCAAAUUAAAUGAGCUAAUAAAAAUCAGGCCUGUUCAAGUGCCCAAUUGAUUUAAACAUGAAGAUUGUCAGUUUCCAGCAUCACUGAUUCUAAUCCAACAACCCUCACCAUAGAGGUCUUCAUUCAGCCUGCUGUGUUUGGAGGUUUUGCUUAUUGGGUGUGUAUCUGUAAGGUAAAUCUUGACGAUUUCCUUACUACAGACAAUUAUCUGGCUGGAGAUGUCAUGUUUUAGACCUUGGCCAUCUUGUGCAAGUUACAGAAGUUUUGCCAAAGACACUUUGCUUCUAUCCGGGUUUAUAUCCCUGACCAUCCACUCAACCAUCACUUAUCCAUUCACUCAGCAAGUAUGAAUCACUUAUCCAUUCACUCAGCAAGUAUGAAUCACUUAUCCAUUCACUCAGCAAGUAUGCCAUGGCUGUGUGCCAGGCAACACUCUCAGCACAGCAUAUAUGGAGCUCCCUGACUAGUAGAGGGAUGUAGAGGAUGGACAAGUGAUCAGGCAAUAAGAGCACAGAGAGAGCCUGGAUCUGUGCCCUCUUGGCCCCUCCAGGUCUGGGCUUCAUUAACAAUCUCCCCUCUUCUGCAGCAUCCUCAGCUUCUCCCUCUCUACCUUCCCCUAAUACCAUAAAACUCAUCCACUGGCCUGGCGGUCCCUCCUAGGUAUCAUCCUACUUUUCUCCUUCCUCAUCCAGACUUCUAAACAGAGUAAUCUACAUCCUCAAUGCCUACCUUACCUUCACUUCACACCUCAACCCCCAGUAAUCCAUCCACCAAGAGAGUCCCCACAGCAAUCCAUCCACCAAGAGAGUCAUAACUGCUCUUUCUAAAGUCACCUACAACCUCCUAAGUUCUGUGAACCCCCAAAAUUUGACACAGGUCUCAGUUAAUUUAGAAAGUUCAUUUUGGCAACUUUGAGGAUGCAUACCCAUGUCACAGCCUCAGAAAGUCCUGAUGACGUGAACCCAAGGUGGUCAGGGCACAGCUUGGUUUUAUACAUUUUAGGGAGAUUUGAGACAUCAAUCAGUAUAUGUAAGAAGUACAUUGGUUCUGUCCAGAAAGGCGGGGACAACUCAAAGCAGGGAGGGGGCUUCCAGGUCACAGGUAGGUGACAGACAAAUGGUUGCCUUCUUUUGGGUUUCUGAUAAGCCUUUCCAAAGGAGGCCAUCAGAAUAUGCAUCUAUCUCAAUGAGCAGAGGGAUGAGUUUGAAUAGAACGGGAGGCAGGUUUGACUGGAGCAGUUUCCAGCUUGAAUUUUCCUUUUAGCUUAGUGUUUUUGGGAGCCCAAGAUAUUUUCCUUUCACAGUCCUAAGAAGCAGAUACUCUUUGUCUCUUAUUUACCACCAUAUUUAAUGCUACUGAUCACUCCAGCCUCUGCUCCCAGGAAGCUUCUUUCUUCUUGUCUUCUCAGAUCUUUCAUUCCUUGUCUAUAGCUUUGUAGAUUCUUCUUCCUUUCACUUCUCAGUGCUGGUGCUCCCCAAACAACCCGCCCACUUUUCUAGAUGCUCCUUCUCCCUGGGACAUCUCAUUUACUCUCAGGGUUUUAACUAGAAUUUACCUACUGGUAGCUUUAUUUAUUUAUUUUUGAGACAGAGGUUCACUCUUGUCACCCAAGCUGGAGUGCAAUGGUGCAAUCUUGGCUUACUGCAACCUCUGCCUCCCAGGUUCAAGCGAUUCUACUGCCUCAGCCUCCUGAGUAGCUGGGAUUACAGGCAUGUGCCACUUCGCCCAGCUAAUGUUUGUAUUUUUAGUAGAGACGGGGUUUCAUCAUGUUGGCCAGGCUAGUCUGGAACUCCUGACCUCAGGUGAUCCGCCUGCCUCAGCCUCCUAAAGUGCUGGGAUUACAGGAGUGAGCCACUGCGCCCGGCCUACUGGUGCCUUUAAUAUCCAAAUCUCCAGACAGAGAACACUCAAUAUUUGAACUCAAAUUGAAUGCCUGCUAGACAUUUACACUUGGAUGUUCUAUAAGCAACUUAAACCCAACUUGUCCCAAACAAAACUCAUCAGUCACCAUUCUUUAAACCUGUUUUUUUGCUACUUUUGUAUUUUUAUUUUAGUUUUUAAAUUUUAUUUUUAUUUUUAUUUAUUUAUCUUGAGACAAGCUCUGGCUCUGAUGCCCAGGCUCUGGAGUGCAGUGACAUGAUCUUGACUGACUGCAACCUCUGCCUCCCGGGCUCAAGCCAUCCUUCCACCUCAGCUUUGCAAGUAGCUGGGACUACUGGCAUGUGCCACCAACCCUGGCUAAUUUCUGUGUGUGUGUGUGUGUGUGUGUAUAUAUAUUUUGUUUGUUUGUUUGUUUGUUUGUUUGUUUGUUUUUGUAGAGACAUGGUUUCACCAAGUUGCCCAGGCUGGUCUCAAACUUGUGAGCUGAAGAGAUCUGCCUGCCUUGGCUUUCCAAAGUGCUGGAAUUACAGGCAUAAGCCACCACGCUCGGCCCUGUAUUUUUAUUUUUAAUCUCAGUUAUUGGCACUAAAAUUCAGUUGAUUAUCCAAAUAUGAAGCCUGGCUUUUGUCUUCACUAUGACCUCUCAAUUUUUCAAAAAAAUCAAAGUUGAAUCUAAUUUGUGUCCUUUCUGUUACUUCCUUUUCAGCUCCUUCUCAUCUCUCACCUGGGUAAGUUCUAUCUCCUUCCACCUUAUGCCCUUUUCAGCCUUACCAUCUCCCACCUUGGCCCUUAUUUCCGUGGUUCAGUUGGUCUCCCAGGCUCAUCCCUCAUGGCCCACAGCUCUGUCUACUGAAUUGCUGCCAGAGAGGUCUUUAUUAAAAUCCAUAUCUGACCAUGUUGCCUCCAUACCUAAAACCCCUCAAUGGAGCCUGGACACGGAUAGGAUAAAAUAUCAACUCCUUAACCACGUGUGCUGGGUAUCCUCCACCUGCCUUUCUGGACUCACUCACCACCUUUCUCGUCCUUCUCCGACCUGGAAGGCUGACCUCCACCUACUGCCUCAGCUGAGCCUUCUUCCUUCUGGAUGGGUUUGGCCAUUGGGAGGCAUGAGAAAGAUGUCAGAAUGCAGGAGAGAAAAAUAGCUGGGAUAUUUACUCUCUUGCCUCCAUUUCAACCCAGCUGCAGGCUUCUCUACCAGAAGCUCCAGCUCCAGUGGUGUGUGGUGGUGGUAGCAGGAGGGGGUCCCUAGUGUUAAAGCCACAGCCACCGUUCUUUCUUGAGUUCUGGUCUCCCUCUUUGCCUCUUUUAGCCUACGGGAGGUGGUGGCUCUUGGACUUGCAGUUGCUAGCCCAGGUGUCUCGUAACCCAUUGUUGGUUUCCCUUAACUCUGCCCGCAUCCUUGCUAACAGGCCCCCCAUUAAUACUCCUCAGCCACUCUGUAUGUUGUGCCUGCUACCUGCUAAGACUCUCAUCUUUGUGCUCCCCCAUUCUAUCCUCAGGCAUUGCAUCCCAGCAGCACCGCACUGCUUCUGCUUGGUUUCUCCACAGGAGCCUUGCUUUUCCUCACCUCCAAGCCUUUGCCCAGGCUAGCCCUCUGCCUACAGCACCCUUCCCAUUCCUCCUUACAUGGUCUAAUGACCCUCUGAAGCGUCAUCUCUUAAAAGGCUUCUGUCUGUCCCAGGCUAGGUGUAGGUCUCUGCCCACUUUCAUUGCAUCUGACACAUUCCUGUUAAAUCAUUCCCUUCUCUUAGCACUUAGGAGCACAAAAUUUAAUGAUAGGUUGCCUGUGUUCAAACUCUGGUCCUGCCUCAGUUUUCCCCUCUAAAAAGGAAAAAUCCCUACCUCAUAGGAUCAUGGUAGUUCAUAAAUGAAACCAUGUGCGCUGAGUACGUAACACAGUGCUGGACAUAUAGAAACACUUGGCAACUGUGAGCUUUCAGUCUCUGAAACACACUAGCUUUUUAAUCUUUAUUUAUUUAGCAUAGAUUUCGCUUAGAAAUCAUCCCAGCUAACUCAUUCAUGUUUUUUAGCCAGUACCUAUGAGUGAGUACAUCCAUUGCUUCCAGUCUUUGGUACUGUAAAUAAUAAAAUAAAAGCUAAAAAAAAAAAAACAGAAGAAAAACAAUGUCAUCAUGAACAUCUUUACACACACAUCUUUGUGAUGUGCAAAUAUAUGUAGCAUAAAUCUCUGGAAAUGACUGUGAUUUUAUUUUUAAAAUUUAAUUAAUAAUUAAUUUAAAUUAUUUAUUUAUUUUUUGAGACAGGGUCUUGUGCUGCCACCCAGGCUGGAGUGCAGUGGCAGCACAAUCAUAACUUACUCUGCAGCUUCUAACUCCUGGGCUCAAGCAAUCCUCUUGCCUCACCCUCCUGAGUAGAUGGGACUACAGGUGUGUGCCACCAUGCCUGGCUAAUUUUUUGUACUUUUUGUAGAGAUGAGGUUUCACCAUGUUUCCCAGGAUAGUCUUAAACUCCUGGGCUCAGAACAAUCCACCCGCCUCAGCUUCCCAAAGUGCUGAGAUUACAGGCAUGAGCCACCACUCCCGGCCUGGAUUGUGAUUUUAAACUCAGAGAGCUAUUGACAGAUUCUUCUGAAAAUGGGUUGUCCUCAUUUGCAUUCUCCCCACUAGUGUGGCUUCUCUCUCUGUAGUCUACACUCAUGCCUUCCCUCAUGACUUAAAGAAUAUUUUCGUCCAGAAAAGAUCGUAUUCAUUAAACAAGCUAAACUAAAGCAGCAAUGCUCAGAGUGCCCGUCACUGCCUUGCGGACUCUCAGAUCCAUCGCCCCACACUCCCCACUGGUCUAUAUGGGGUUGAGGUGAGGCUGUGGAUGCAGACUCAUUUCCCAGGCUCCCCUGCUCAUUGCUUCUGAUGAGAUGUGGCCAGUAGGAGCAGAGGAAGGGAAGAAGCCAAGACAUUGCUUCUCUCUGUUUCUGGUGGCAUUUUCAGCAGUCACUGUGACUCCAGUGUCCCUGAAGUGGUUGCUCUCUCCAGGGUUCCAUUGCAGCUGCAGGCUUGCCAAAGUUUCCUGGCUCCAGCUGGGUGCCCUGGCCCCCGGGCUUUGGCAACCCCGCCUCCACCAUUUGUCAUUCCAGCCAUGGGGCUUCCCGUGGGAAGCUUCUGGCUGUUGGAUUGCUCCAUUGUGCCCAGGUUGCCCUUUUAGCUUUUCCAAUAUCUUUGUAACUGGUUUUCCAUUUUAUUUUUAUUUAAUUAAUUUAUUUAUUUGAGAUGGAGUUCCACUCUUGUCCCCCAGGCUGGAGUGCAAUGGUAUGGUCUCGGCCCACUUAAACUCCACCUCUCGGGUUUAAGAGAUUCUCCAGCCUCAGCUUCCCGAGUAGCUAGGAUUACAGGUGCCCGCCACCACGCCCAGCUAAUGUUUGUAUUUUUAGUAGAGACGGGGUUUCACCAUGUUGGCCAGGCUGAUCUGGAAAACCUGACCUCAGGUGAUCCACCCACCUUGGCCUCCCAAAGCUGGGAUUACAGGGGUGAGCCACCACACCCAGCCUGGUUUCCCAUUUUUAAUCACCUCUGUUGAACUAUCUAUUUCAGUUUUGUCUCAUUCCCUCACCUCUUCUUAACUGGACACUGACCCGGGGUUGACAAGACCGAGGAGAAAUGGCCACAUUCUUAUACUGUUGGUGGGAAUGGAAAUUGUUGCAGAAUUUUUUGGCAGGCAGUUUGGCAGUCCAUACCAAAAGUUUUAAACAUGUGUACUCUUGCCUUAUCUUUGAGAGAUACGUGUUAAAUACUCAUGAAUGAAAUGACAUGCUGUCUGGAAUUUGUUUCAAAACAAUCCAGGGAGUGGGGAUAAGUAGGAUCUCGCAUAGAUGCAACAAGAUGGGCCACGAGCUGACAGUUGUUUGAGCUGGAUGACGGAUACGUUGGCACUCAUUACUCUGGUCCUCUUUACUUAUAAAUGUUUGACUUCUUCAAUAAUAAAAACUAUUUUCUGGCCAGGUACAGUAUCUGAUGCCUGUAAUCCCAGCUCUUUGGGAGGCCUAGGCGGUAGGGUUGCUUGAGGCCAGGAGUUUGAGACCACCCUGGGCAACACAGUGAGACCCCAUCUCUACAAAAAAUAAAAAAAAUUAACCAGAUGUGGUGGUGCAGGCCUGUAGUCCUAGCUACUCAGGAGGCUGAGGCAGGAGGAUCACCUGAGCCCAGGAGUUAGAAGCUGCAGUGAGCUAUGAUAGUGCCACAGCUGCACUCCAGGCUGGGUGACAGAGUGAGACCCUGUCUCAAAAAAAAAAAAAAUUCCCAAAACCCCCUGAUUUCCAAAAGCAAAAUCUUGGACCUUGGAGAAUGAUUUAAAAAAACAAAUUCUCUUCAAGGAUGGGUUUUAACGGCGUUGUUUAUAAUAACAAACAAUUGACAACAUUCUGAUUUUCCAGCAGUGGGAUGGUCCUGUCAUAACUUACAAUAUAUCCACACACAAAACACGAUUCCGACUUGAAAAGAUGUUGCAGCAUUCGUGAUUUUUUUUUUGGAUUUGUGAUAUUUUAAGUGAAAGAAAAGAUAUCAGCCUGUGAUAUUACCAUCCAAUUAAAAGAUUUGUGUAUGUGUCUAAGGAGGAUUUGUGCCCAAGCGCGAAGGGUGGUGCCUUCGAAUGGGCGGGCCUGUGCUCUUUCUUCCUUUGACUUGUUUGUGCUCUCUGGUUGGUUUGUUGUUAUGUACAAUCAUUACUUUCAAAUUCUAAAAAAAAAAAAAUGAAUACAUUCUUUCUUCCUUCCUCCCUUCCUUCUUUCAAUGUCUCUUUUUUUUUUUUUUUUGAGACGGAGUCUUGCUCUAUUGUCCAGGCUGGAGUGCAGUGGUGUGAUCUUGGCUCACUGCAACCUCCACCUCCCCAGUUCAAGUGAUUCUCCUCCUUCAGCCUCGCGAGUAGCUGGGACUACAGGCGCCCACCACCACGCCCAGCUAACUUUUUGUAUUUUUAGUAGAGAUGGGGUUUCACUGUGUUAGCCAAGAUGGUCUCCAUCUCCUGACCUCGUGAUCCACCCGGCUCUGCCUCUGAAAGUGCUGGGAUUACAGGUGUGAGCCACCGUGCCUGGCCUCAAUGUCUCUUUUCAAAGGGGCAGGGCCCUGGUUGACGAUGUGCAUGUAUUGGGGUAGGGAAGCCAGUGGGUCCCACCUUGGCUUCUUUUUAGUAAAUGUCAGUUGUCUGCUCAACUUUUCCAGGCAAGGCUUAGGAAAAAAAUGGGCAUAGGCUAGGGACAGAGGGAGGGAAGAGAAAAAGGAGUACUAAAGAAGAUGGGGUGGCCACAACAUCUUCCACACAACAAAGUGGCUAAACACAGAUGCCACAAUCAAGAGUGUGGGUGAGGGUGUGCAGUUGACAGUGGGAGGUGCUGCCUGGCAUGGCCCCUUCCCAUGCCCCCAGCCAUCCUGGCCUUGUUCCCUCUUGCAUGUUUAUGUCUAUUGUACUACGUGGUCCUCCCUCCUGGACGCUGCCUCUGUUUUGCCUUUGCAUUUGACUACUGACACCUGCCCCUCAGCAUGUCAAUCUCUCUCUCUCUUUUUUUUUUUUUUUGAGACAGAGUCUCACUCUGUUGCCCAGGCUGGAGUGCAGUGGUGCGAUCUCAGCUCACUGCAACUUCCACCUCCCAGGUCUAAGUGAUUCUCCUGCCUCAGCCUCCUGAGUAGCUGGGAUUACAGGCACCCACCACCACGCCUGACUAAUUUUUUUUAUAUUUUUAGUAGAGACAGGGUUUCACUAUGUUGGACAGGCUGGUCUCAAACUCCUGACCUGUGGUUAUCUGCCCGCCUCAACCUUCCAAAGUGCUGGGAUUACAGGCGUGAGCCACUGUGCCUGGCCCAGGAUGUCAAUGUCUCUUGAUGAUCCUUUUCAAUAUCUGCUUUUCCACCUGCUGACCCAUUUUUGGCAACGUGGUCUAAUAAUAAGGAUAAAUAACCGAGCACUGGGCUAUGUCCCAGAAAUGUUGUCAGGAGCUUCAUAAACACCAUCUCACCGAAUCCUCCCUGCACUCUGCCGUGGUGAUAACAUUCCCCCAAAGCACAGACAAGAAGGCUAAGACAAUCAGAGAAAUGAAAUGACUGUCUGAGGCCUCCCCAGACAGUGGGAGGCAGAAUGAAUUUGAAACCCAGGGCUCUGCUCAUUCCACUGCCUGGGGCUGCCUCCCCGGCAGACUCCUCUGCUCCAGUAUGAGUGCUUGAGAGCACAGCUGCCCGGGGAGGUUCCAGGCUCUGCUCUUACUAACUCUGUGACCCUGGAAAGUGACAAAACUCCUUACACUCCCUGGACAGUCUUGACAAUAGGGUGGUCGUGAAGAUGAAAGAGCUUAUGCAGGGAAAGCAGUUUGAACAGUGCCCAGAGGAGUGGACCUCCACUUUGGGUGUCCAGUGCGAUCGCUCGGAGUGCUUUAAAAAUUCCUGAGCUGUCCACCCCUACAAUUCUGAUGGGACUGCUCUGGGGUGCAGCCUGGGCAUCAGGAUUUUCUAAAGCUCCCCAGGUGAUUCUAACCUGUAACCAGGGCUGGGAACCACUGCCUCUAGCAUGCAGGAAGCACCUAAUAAAUGUUGGCUAGAACUCUUUUGUCCUGUCUGGCCCCCACACCUGCUUCUGCUCUGAAGCCAUGACCACUCCCCUCCCCACCCUUGCCCUGCCUGGUUUCCCAGCGACUAAGGGGUUGGCUUUGGGCUUUUCCAACAACAUGGGCACAUAUGCCAGGAUGGUCCAUCUGGGUCCUUGGAUUCCUGCCGUUGCAAAACCCCAGCCUACCCUGGGGCUACCAAUGUUUGGCUUAGAGCAAGCUUCAUACUCAGUCCAGGAAAGACAAUUCCAGGAACUGAAUUCACAGUUGUGUUAAUGGGAGUGGGUGUAGAAGGAGGUGGCACUUUCAGCUUUGAGGGGCCCUAGAUAACUCUGGGACUCUCCUAUGACAUCACUCACCUUGGCUACUUUCAAUGGGAGGGGGCUGUUGCUUUACUUCGGAAGCUAGUGCUGACAGCAUUUGGUAGCAAAUGUGCCACUACUAAAUCACAUUGUGCCUGGCAGUCAGGUUCUGGAGGCAGUGCUUAUGUUUGUAAAAUUUAUUUUAGUCAAAAUCACAUUUGACAACCUUUCUUUUGUUGGGUACCAGAUAAAGGCAUUGGUUUGCAUUUAGAGCAAAAAUAAAAUACCUAUUUUUAAACACUGGAAGACCAGAGACAGACAGAAAAGAAGCAAACUCCCAUCCGCUAUCUUAAGUACACCCCGGGCACAUUUUCACUGCAUCCAAGGGUGGAUUAAGUUGCUUACAGUAUUCAUGUCUUUACACUUCUCUCUUUCCCCCUCCACAGCAGGACACAUAUUGUUGAAGGAGCCUAAGUGAAUUGUGAAUGUGCUACAACUUCACCGUAGUCCAGUUGUUCUCCACUGUGGGUAACUUCAUCUCCAGGAGGCAUUUAGCAACUUCUGGACAUAUUUUUGGUUGUCAUAACAGGGGGAAGGUUGCUACAGUCAUCUAGGUACUAGGGCCAGGGAUGCUACUCCACAGCCAAGUAUGCACAGGGCUGUUCCCUACUCCAGGGAAUUAUCAGCCCAAACUCUCAACUUUGUCGAGGUUGAGAAACGCUUCGGUAACCUCUGAGGUUUAUUGAGCAGCUGCCAUGCACUGCGUGGGUGCUAAGAAUAGAGUAGGAAGCGAAGCAGAUCCAUUCUCUGCUCACCCAGCGCCCACAGCAAGUGGCAUCCUGAUUCUUAUCAGUGGCUCCCCUGAGCACCAAGAUCUAAGAGCAGUGAAGGUAGGGGCUGCUGUACCCACAGGAGGGUCUCCAGGACAACCAGCCACCCAGGAGCCUGAGCAGGAGGAGCCUGUAGGAAGUGAGCUGGAAGUCAGGUUAAGAAAGUCGCAGAGGCUACUCAUAGGCGCCAGCUUUGUCUCCAUCUUCCUCCUUCGUCAUGCAAAGUGCUUCUGUGAACUUCAUGAGCAUGGGGUUCUUAAGGCCCAUUGGGUAGAGGCUUUAGGAACCCCAUGAUCAUGCUGCACACAGCCAGGCUCCAUCUCACAGGCAGGUCCUUGGCAUGGCCUAUCUUGAGUCUGGUGUAGCUUUUUUUCAAAAAUUGCCUUCUUAUCUCCUGUCUCAGCUAAUUGGUUCCUUCAUUCACUUACUUAUAACAAAAAUUUAAUGAGAAUACAUAUGUGUAAGGACCUAGAUUUAGGUUUUAAUUAUGAAUAGUUCUUAUUGGAUGCAUAUUCCAGACCCAUUUUAGAAAUGGAAAAUGUGAGAUGAAAUAACUUGUUACAGGUCACUUUUCUUUUACUCUGGAGCCCGUAAUCAUUGCCCCUGCAGUGAUUUCUCUCCUUCUCUUUCAUAUACUCAACCAAUAUUUAUGGAGGAUCCACUGUGUGCUGGGCAUGCACUGAGCACCAGGGCUAUGAUGGUGGACAAGACAGAUUUCAUUUCUGCUGUUAUUACCUACAUUGUAUUAGUCUGUUCUCUUGCUGCUAAUAAAGAUAUACCUGAGGCUGGGUAAUUUAUAAAGGAAAGAAAUCUAAUGGAAUCACAGUUCCACAUAGCUAGGGAGGGCUCCCAAUCAUGGCAGAAGGCAAAUGAGGAGCAAAGUUAUCUCUUAUUUGACUGCAGGCAAGAGAGAGCUUGCGGAGGGGAACUACCCUUUAUGAAAUCAUGAGAUGUCAUCAGACUUACUAUCAUGAGAACAGCAUGGGAAACACCUGCCCCUCAUGAUUCAAUUACCUCCCACUGGGUCCCUCUCAUGAUGUGUGGGAAUUAUGGGAGCUACAAUUCAAGAUAAGAUUUGGGUGGGGACACAGCCAAACCAUAUCACACAUUUUCAACUACUUUAUGGAAACUCCCCCUGGAGAGCUCACCUCAAGCGCUCCAGGUCCCAAGCCAGCCUUCUUCUAGAAUCUUCUCCCCAUCCCUCCCAUUCUUCAGAGGGAGUCUCAAAAAGAUUUUCUUGGAUAUUGCUGCAUGAAAUGGUGAGCAUUGUACACAGCACAUUAUGCAAACCAACACAUCAGAGGAUGGCUGGUGUCAUAUCUGCUUGAAAGCUUUCAGCCCCAAACACUUUGGCAUUCCUGCCAUUUCUGCCAAAAACAACUUCGGAGAGAGGCUGGGGAAGGAGGCUAGGUGAGAUCUGUUGGAUUCCAGAGAUUCAAGUCAGCACUGGUGUGACUGUGAGUUACCACACAGAGCUGGGGUGCCCGAAGGAAGAGACCCUCUUUCUGCCGAGAUGUGGUUUUAUAAGGAAAGAGAGACAUUCCCACUUCUGAGUGGCUUUAGGGGGUACAGACAUGCCAAUCUUCAGCACAUCUUACCUACCGAAAAAUUUCCAUCUUUUGCUGUCAAAACAAGUCAUAUCUUAAAGACCACACACACAGAGAAAGUUGGCUUCUCUACUUCAUAUCCAGAAAGUUCUCAGGGAGAAAAUAUGUAGCACUAAGGUGAAUAGAAGUCAAUGUAGCCGGGCACGGUGGCUCAUGCCUGUAAUCCCAGCACUCUGGGAGGCCAAUACGGGUGGAUCACCUGAGGUCAAGAGUUAAAGACCAGCCUGGCCAACAUGUUGAAACCCUGUCUCUACUAAAAAUACAAAAAUUAGCUGCGCGUGGUGGCAGGUGCCUGUAAUCCCAGCUAUUCGGGAGGCUGAGAGAGGAGAAUCGAUUGAACCUGGGAGGCAGAGGUUGCAGUGAGCUGAGAUCAUGCCACUGCACUCCAGCCUGGGUGACGAGAGCGAAACUCCGUCUCAAAAAAAAAAGAGGAAAAGAAAAAGAAAAAAGGUAAAAAAAGAAAGUCAAUGUAAAUCUGUGGAGCCUCUAUUUACAUAUUUCUUUUUACUGUGUUCUUAAAACAUCCCCUCAGCAUAUGACUAUGAUCGGAGGCUGAGUGCAAUGGAAGUGUUCACUUCUAGAACUUUCUCUCUGUAAGGACAGGAAGAAGAUAUAUAUGUGGAAUGGACUGAUGGAUAUUGUUCAUUGUCAAGUUUGGCCUACAUCCAGAGACCAUAAAUGUCACUCUUCUAUCACUGAGUGAAGAAAAUCAUGCACUUCAGAGGCAGAAAGGGCUUGGGACCUCCAGGCCAGGGAUUCCCAUUAUAGGCUCUGCCAUUUAAUAACUUCAUAACCCUGGGAAGGUUCCUCGGCUUCUCUCAGCCUCACUUUCCUCAUCUAGAAAAUGAAGGUGAGACUCCUACCAGAUGGAGUUGUGGGGGAUUCACGAGACAAUGGAGCAAAACCACUGGCACACAGUGGGUGAUCCAUAAUGGUGGCUCCUGGCCACUUGUACUACAGACACAAAUAAACAAAACCAAAAACCUUCCACAGUUAGAGAGUUUUCACUGGGAAUUUUGACUUCCCUCUACAAUUCAGUCUCCUGCUGUGGACUUUAAGUGGUCAGUGGUGUUGAACAACUAUUAUCUAACUAUUGGCAUAGUAUUAAGAGAUUCAGAGAUAUUGACCAAUGUCAGUGUUUCAGGACCCUUAAUAAUGGGUGGGUUUCAUGAUUCCAUUGUCAAGAUGAGCUCAUUUCUGCUCAGAAGAUUAAAUAAUUGGCCCUGAGACUGGUUAUCUAUCAGCAGAAGCAAACUUUGUGCUGAGAUCCAGGUCACUCUUCCAUGGUAGAGGCAAAACUCCUUCCAGUUCUGCCAGUGACCAGAGGCCAGGAGUGAACUCAAACCAGCAACUGCGGGCCUGGAGGAGUUUAAGGAGGUUUUGGGUCUGUUCUCCAAUGUUCUUGCCAACCCAUAACAAACCUGAUGACUGUUGAGUGACUCCUGGAGGAGAUUAUUAUUCUUUUUCUAUCUCAGGGCUAUGUUACAUAUGUGGAGG